rnacentral:ncRNA from 1 species
AUGGGAACAGCACGGCCGCAAAUCUGACUCGUCCCGCGGGGGACUCCCCGGAGGGGCUCGGGAUUGCGGAGGUGC